rnacentral:rRNA from 1 species
UACGGAGGGGGCGAGCGUUGUCCGAAGUUACUGGGCGUAAAGCGCGCGUAGGCGGGUUGGUAAGUCCGCUGUGAAAGCCCGGAGCUCAACUCCGGAGGGUCGGUGGAUACUGCCAGUCUUGAAGGUGCUAGGGGGAGAUGGAAUUACCGGUGUAGCGGUGAAAUGCGUAGAUAUCGGAAGGAACAUCAGUGGCGAAAGCGGCUUCCUGGUCCAGCACCGACGCUCAGGCACGAAAGCGUGGGGAGCAAACAGG